AGCUCCAAUAGCGUAUAUUAAAGUUGUUGUGGUUGAAAAGCUCGUAGUUGGAUCUCAACAGACCCGGGUCGGUUUACUUUGUGUAAUACUGAUCCGGUACUGUGCUUUUGCUGGAGGUUCAGGGGUGCUCUUAACCGAGUGUCUCUGAGUGCCAGCAGGUUUACUUUGAAGAAAAUUGGUUGCUCAAGGAAGGCUGUUAUGCCUGAAAAUUUGUGCAUGGAAUAAUAGAAUAGGAUGUUGAUCUUAUUUUGUUGGUUUUCAAGACUCGACAUAAUGAUUAAUAGGGACAGUCGGGGGCAUUUGUAUUCAAACGACAGAGGUGAAAUUCUUGGACCGUUUGAAGACAAACUACUGCGAAAGCAUUUGCCAAGAAUGUUU
rnacentral:rRNA from 1 species